rnacentral:lncRNA from 1 species
UUCAUUCCAUAAAUCAUUCAUUCAUAACAUUCAUUUCAUUUUAAUUUUACAACAACCAAAUUCCAAUCCUAUACAUAACCACAUACAUAUAUUCACAUUUGCAUUAUAAUACAUUCAUCCCUAAGCCAACAUCAUUAAUUCAUUUCUACAACAAAAUGGCAACAAGUCUUUAACACAAAUGCAUAGCAUCCCAUUUGAUCAACUAUAUUCCAAGAGCCCAACCACUUUCCAUAACCACUCUUCAAGCCAAUUCUAAAUCCUAUGAACAAACCAAGCAAAUAGCUGUAGCAUCUUUAAAAGCUCCUGACUUUCCCAAGCAGCAACCCAUGAUCCAAGCUAGCAUUCCACAUGACCAUUGUCCAAGUAAUUCCACGAGCAAAGGACUUCACAGCUAAUCCAUCACAGCCCUGCAUAAUAGUAUGAAUUAAGCAACAUUUUCACAACAAAAACCACUUGAGGACCCUACAUGAUACAACUCAGAAACAUUUCAUUCAUUUUUACACUCAAAACCUUCAGAACAAAUUUUCUUUCCAUUCUAACUAACCCAACCACGCUACGAACUAACAUUCACUUCACAUUAACUUCAACAUACAAUAAACCUACAAUUAACAACAAGUUAAAUUCAAAGGUCCAGCAUAAGCUAACAAAUACAAUCAUACAGAAUAACCUAAACUCACCAACUGAACUGAAUCAAAACUCAUAACCAACUCAAAAACAGUUUUUAUUUCCAACUAACUUAUGCAUUUCAAGGGAGAUUUGAGUGAAUUUAAAGUUCAUCUCAUAACAGAAAUUCAGAGCGUAU